CUACGGGCCGCUGCAGUGGGGAAUAUUGGACAAUGGGGGAAACCCUGAUCCAGCAAUGCCGCGUGUGUGAAGAAGGCCUGCGGGUUGUAAAGCACUUUCGGUUGGGAGGACUGCUUCUAGCACUAAUAUUGUUGGAAGUUGACGUUACCUUCAGAAGAAGCACCGGCUAACUCCGUGCCAGCAGGCCGCGGUAAUACGGAGGGUGCAAGCGUUAAUCGGAAUUACUGGGCGUAAAGCGCGCGUAGGCGGCUAGAUCAGUCGGGUGUGAAAGCCCCGGGCUUAACCUGGGAACUGCAUCCGAUACUGUCUAGCUUGAGUACAGGAGAGGAGAGUGGAAUUCCACAUGUAGCGGUGACAUGCGUAGAUAUGUGGAGGAACACCAAUGGCGAAGGCAGCUCUCUGGCCUGAUACUGACGCUGAGGUGCGAAAGCGUGGGGAGCAAACAGGAUUAGAUACCCGGGUAGUC
rnacentral:rRNA from 1 species